CCUUCCCAUGUGCACCGUGGGUCUCCCAGGCAAAGUUCAGCCUCUUUGUCUGAAGAUCCCAAUGUUAGGGACGAAAUUCUUCCUCCGGGGACUAUUCAUGGCUGCAGACCGUCCUUGGAACUCCAACCAACACAAAUACACCUAUGCCUUCAGUCAGGGUUUAUAUAAAAAACAGAUGAUGAUUUCUGCAGGAAAUGCCCGGUGGGCCACAAUGAC